AGAGAGGAAAGAAAGGCAAAGGGAGCAGUGAAGAGAAAAUGUACCGAUGUGACUGCUUUGAGCUCAUUUGGCCUUCCAGACACCACUGCUCCUCUUGCCAUAGAACUUUCUCCAAUGAUGUUGAUUUUGGGGGGCAUAAUGAUGGUAGGUGCUCUAUUGUUCCAUCGUCCCAUGAGAAAAGUGAAGUGAGUAAUGAUUCCUUCAAAGCAAAGGGGAAUUUGAAA
rnacentral:misc_RNA from 1 species